AAGUCGUAACAAGGUUUCCGUAGGUGAACCUGCGGAAGGAUCAUUAACACUUUUGGAUUCGUCCCAAAUUAACAAAUUCAAUUAACUCAAACCCCUACUUGCAAACAAAAAACAAAUUAUAAUCUAACCUUAUCUUAACCUUAUCUUAACCUUAUCUUAACCUUAUAUAAUAAUAACUCUUUUAUAUAACACCUAACUCUAUAACUACUUGACUAAUUUUCGAUUGUUAAAAGCUCAACAACUUAUUAAAAACAAUUGACUCUCCAAUGUCAAAGUUGGAUUGAGACUUGUGUAUGAUGGUUUUGAGUUUAUCAAUCAAUACAAUUCAUUGUAGUGAUGAAUUGUAUUCUUCAACUAAUCUUACAACUCUUAACAAUGGAUAUCUAGGUUCUC
rnacentral:misc_RNA from 1 species